GGUUUCGUGGUGUAGUUGGUUAUCACGUCAGUCUAACAUAUGUUCUACAUAUAUAACACUGAAGGUCUCCGGUUCAAGUCCGGGCGAAAUCA
rnacentral:tRNA from 1 species